rnacentral:tRNA from 1 species
GCAGUCAUGGCCGAGUGGUUAAUGCGUUAGACUAGAAAUCUAAUCCCCUCUGGCGUCGCAGAUUCGAAUCCUUCUGACUGCU